GUACUCACUGCAGCACAUAUGCUAAAAGUGGAACGAUAACGAGAAGAUUAGCAUGGCUCCUGCGCAAGGAUGACAUGCAAAUU
rnacentral:snRNA from 1 species